CGAAGAUGAUGAUUUGGUCAAGGGCACCGGGAGAAGGAAUUUCGCGCGGAUUAGUCCCCCCACCCGCCGAUUAUAUGAUUAUCCGUCCACAAGAGACUUUUUGAGACUGUUCAUUCGAUGAUUUAUAGGUUAGGUGCUAAGUGGGUGAGGACACAGGAGCCGACAAAUACCAAAAAUGUUACGCAACUUUCCGGACACCUGUAGGAGGAGAUGGUCGGAGCCGCAAAAGGAGGAUGAUGGGGCAACACAAAAGAUGCAUCAUUAGUAUUCAUAGGAGAGAGGCCGCAGGAUAU
ensembl:ncRNA Y71F9B.19 ncRNA